rnacentral:rRNA from 1 species
CCUACGGGAGGCAGCAGUGGGGAAUAUUGCACAAUGGGGGAAACCCUGAUGCAGCGACGCCGCGUGAGCGAUGAAGUAUUUCGGUAUGUAAAGCUCUAUCAGCAGGGAAGAAAAUGACGGUACCUGACUAAGAAGCCCCGGCUAACGACGUGCCAGCAGCCGCGGGAAUACGUAGGGGGCAAGCGUUAUCCGGAUUUACUGGGGGGAAAGGGAGCGUAGACGGGGUGGCAAGGCGGUUGUGAAAGGCUGGGGCUCAACCCCAGGACUGCAUUUAGAACUGACAUGCUAGAGUGUCGGAGAGGCAGGCGGAAUUCCUAGUGUAGCGGUGAAAUGCGUAGAUAUUAGGAGGAACACCAGUGGCGAAGGCGGCCUGCUGGACGAUGACUGACGUUGAGGCUCGAAAGCGUGGGGAGCAAACAGGAUUAGAUACCCUUGUAGUC